GCAUGGACGAAUUCUGUGUUACUCUUGUCAGUAGUAAAAUCAGUCAGACACCAUGCAAAAGCAUAUUUUCAUUCCUACUUUACUAAAUGUGAGUGCUGUCCUGUGCCUCACCUACUCAGUGGAGGAGUGAAUACAAUG
ensembl:snoRNA